rnacentral:lncRNA from 1 species
ACUUGAGCCAUAGGGUUUUAAAAAAAAAUUAAGUAAAAAUAUUAUUUUGGUUUAAUUUGUAAUUUGAUAGGCAUUGGUUCUUUAAAAGCAUAGUCUUGCGAUAAGGAAAAAAAUUAAACGUUCUUAAAUUUUUUUAUUUAUAAAUAAUAUUUUUCCAAAAAUACAUGUUGAGUUUGUAUGCUCUGUUGUAAAAUAGGUUUACAUGGUUUAAACAUUCAAUGUUCUUGAGGUUGCUAUUAAGACUAAGAUCUAUGAAUUUCUAAUUUUACUUUUAUCUGUUAAUAUUAUUUAUUAAAAUAAUUAUAAUAAUAAUAAUAACAACAAACCGCUAGUAUGGCACAAAUACUGUCACAAAUGUUUUAGGCAUUUAUUUCCAAGACUAAUGGAAAAUGUGUUACGAAAACGGUUCAAAUUAAUCAAUCCAGAACACUUGCAACAAUCAUGCCACAAAUGUGAAAUAGUUUGUGAAACAUGGGAAAGCGCUUGAAGCUUACCGAACGUGCGCAUGCUACAGAUUCCAAAUCAGAGCAGCAUUUUCGCCUUGUUCUUCAAAUUCCACGAGAAGCUGGCAAUCUUUCCACAAAAUUCCGCCCUAAAAAUAUAUUCACAGAUUACCAGCAAAUUGUGACAGGUUUAGCAUUUCGAUUCUCACAAGAACAUGAGCAAUUUCUUCUAAACCUUGUUAAAAUGCUUCAACAAUGACUCUUAAGUGGCAGAAUUUCCUCAACGGAUACGGAAUUUAUGUCUCCUACAAUAACUAUUAUCAGUGACAGAAUCCCUCCUUGGUGUGGACUCCUGUUAGUUUACGGGCGCUCACCUACCAUAAAUUCUAUUGUUCAAGGCAGCCAAAUUUUCCAGCCGACGAAGAGUCACAAAUUCCUCACUCGACCUUCAGCUACACUACCCUCUGAGAACCACUGGCCUUAGUUGAAGAAUCUAGAAAAUCCCUUAACAUCGAUAUAAAACUCGCACGCAGACGCAACUUCCUUCUGCAGCCUAAAUGUCACCGAAACGUACUACUUGUGACAACCGAUGCGAGCCACCGAACCUUCCGCGAUGCUAAUUGCUUGCUCCUCAGCGGAAACGAAAGGACGAGAUUUCCAAGACUUACACAACGACAAUCAGAGCAACCCCGAGCUCCCAAUCGACUGCUAGGUCCUCUUGUAAAUUUGGAAAUUGAAUAUUCAUGAUCCACUCUUUACAUCACCUCAAUCAAUACUCAAUCACGAUUAAGAAAUGAAAGCGUGCAGUUUAAAGGACAGCCAACUUGACGCGGGCUUCCAGGUUUCAGCGCCUGCAAACGAAACACCUACAAUGAAACGUUUCUUUGCGAUAAAACAGAGCCUACGCGUCGAUCUCCUCCAGAAGUCUUUUGGCAGCCAGUUGAGAACUGCCUGGUAUCUGCAAUGAGAGCCUGAGCAUCGCACCAGCAGUGGAUCCGACUAGCCUCACUGAGCAAAAACUAAC